rnacentral:rRNA from 1 species
GACGAACGCUGGCGGCGUGCCUAAUACAUGCAAGUCGAGCGGACGGAUGGGAGCUUGCUCCCAGACCGUCAGCGGCGGACGGGUGAGUAACACGUGGGCAACCUGCCUGUAAGACUGGGAUAACUCCGGGAAACCGGGGCUAAUACCGGAUAACUCUUUCCCUCCCAUGAGGGAAAGCUGAAAGAUGGCAUCUCGCUAUCACUUACAGAUGGGCCCGCGGCGCAUUAGCUAGUUGGUGAGGUAACGGCUCACCAAGGCGACGAUGCGUAGCCGACCUGAGAGGGUGAUCGGCCACACUGGGACUGAGGCACGGCCCAGACUCCUACGGGAGGCAGCAGUAGGGAAUCUUCCGCAAUGGACGAAAGUCUGACGGAGCAACGCCGCGUGAGUGAUGAAGGUUUUCGGAUCGUAAAACUCUGUUGUCAGGGAAGAACAAGUACCGGAGUAACUGCCGGUACCUUGACGGUACCUGACCAGAAAGCCACGGCUAACUACGUG